UGCCGUCACUCGACCGACACUGCAUCUUUCUCCGAUGGCCACCGAUUUCCAUCCAGGUACCGGCCCUUCCUGAUCCAGUUGCUGUUUUUUGUACCCCUUUAUGAUCUAUUUCCUUUUCCUGAAAACUUUCAUAUGUGCCUCCAUUUGGAUUCACCAGAAACUAACGAGCAUUUUCUCCUCCCUCAUUUGCUGGGUACUGGUGGAAGCAAAUGGCUGUACUGAAACACUGGUUUUGAAUAGGCCAGUGUAGUUGAUGCCUCUCCUCUGCAGCCGUAUGUCUUCAAGGGAUUGUACUAGUACUACAGGCACAACUCCCUUUAUAAAGGUUGUGUUAGAUAAUUUGAUUAUAUCUUCCAAGUUACAGGACUCAAAAAAUCACUUCUUAAGAGGAAGAAAACAGAGUUGAACUGGUCAUUGUCAAGGUAAUGGAUAAUACUGUAUGCUUGUAGUCAUUUAAUAAUUAAUAUUUCACCAAUUUCUCAAAUAUAGCUUAUGCACAUCUUGUUUUCUGGUCUUGUAAUUUGCGGGUACUAUUCCCUUCCAUAUUGUGUUGUUGUAUGCACAUGAACCUAGUAGAAACUAAAUAUUGGUCGGCACCUAUUUGAGGUCUGAUUUUUCUAGUUUGCAGUUCAUCUUGAUUAGGAGAAAAUGCAAGAUUCGUGAUCUACAAGAGAUGCUAGAGCCUUUGCUCUAAUUAAGGUAUUUUUACUUUUGUUCUCACCCACCUCUCCAAUGUUUUAUCAUGAAUAAACGCCAGUCAAGUUGUCUCGUAUAUUAAAACAUACCUAUGUGCCCAAGAUCAUGAGAUCAGCAUUAUUGAGCGAUUAGUGGCCAUGUUGGUUUAGUCUAAACACAACCGCUUCCUAUUUCAUUGGUGUCUUUUAUUGUAUCACUAUGCAGUAUGCCAGUACCAUCAAAAUGUGUUCUUGAGUAUAGUUUGUCCAUGCCAUCCGAUUUCACGCUUUAUUAUGUAUGACUUAGGAAGUAUUGAGCAGCUACAUGGCAGGUUACAAGGAAGAUUACCAGUACAACAAGGAGGCUGCAACAACAAGUUCAGGUUAUCAAUCAAGGCAAGAAAUUCUACAUAUUCUUCUGAACAAACAGGUACCGUUCCCUGCUGUUACAUUAUCAAAUAUUUGCAUACUGCUUUGGUUUUAUUCUAUUAUUGAGAUGAUGACGACUUUGCCCAUUUUUCUUCAAAAUCUGAAAUGGAUAGACUUAACUCCCUAAUAACUUAUCUACUCAGGCGGUUAGCUGAUAGUUCUUUCAAACUAAUCCAGAAGCAUGUGAUCAGGUUGUCAUUUGAAUGGAUUUUCUUAGUUGCGUGGUUUGUAUCAGGUCUAAGAUAUGAUGCUAUUACUCCAUUAUUUUGUCUGUAGCUGUAAAAUUGGGUAAUUUUGCUGUGAUAAAAACAAGUACGGUAUAUAUUCCAUUGUUAUUUGAAAAAGUGAUACACCAAAUAUAUUAUGCUUAUUAUAUCCUAUAGAUAUUGUUCCUCUUUCUUGUUACCUUUUUGGAGGAAACUGUUGACACUUCCAUAUUUUUUCAAGUUCAAUUAUGUCCACUGCAGGGUAACCUUGAAGAGAAGCUUGCAACAAAAUAUUAUAGAAAAUGAGGUCUCACAUUGCGAAUAUUUAGUUGAUGCACUUGUGUUGUUAAAUGUUGCACCUCUAUUUUUGUUGACUAUUCAUGUAUGUAAAUUCUAUGGAAUUAUAUCUCAAGAGAUGUGAAUAUGUAACUCUAUGGUUGGUGUAAGAUAUUGCUGUUUCUAUGUUGUAAAUAUUCUCAGUACUGGAAUAGCUAUGUGUAAAUCUUUUUUU
rnacentral:lncRNA from 1 species